AGUAGCGUGGCUCGGUGGAAAGAGCCUGGGCUUUGGAGUCAGAGGCCAUGGGUUCGAAUCCCAGCUCUGCCA
rnacentral:tRNA from 1 species